rnacentral:rRNA from 1 species
UACGGGGGGGGCAAGCGUUGUUCGGAUUUACUGGGCGUAAAGGGCGCGUAGGCGGUUUACCGAGUCACUUGUGAAAUCUCCGGGCUUAACCCGGAGCGGCCAAGUGAUACUGGCAGACUGGAGUGCGGAAGGGGCCACCGGAAUUCUCGGUGUAGCGGUGAAAUGCGUAGAUAUCGAGAGGAACACCUGCGGCGAAGGCGGGUGGCUGGGCCGACACUGACGCUGAGGCGCGAAAGCCAGGGGAGCGAACGGG